AGAGUUUGAUCCUGGCUCAGGACGAACGCUGGCGGCGUGCUUAACACAUGCAAGUCGAACGGUAGCACAGAGAGCUUGCUCUUGGGUGACGAGUGGCGGACGGGUGAGUAAUGUCUGGGAAACUGCCCGAUGGAGGGGGAUAACUACUGGAAACGGUAGCUAAUACCGCAUAACGUCGCAAGACCAAAGUGGGGGACCUUCGGGCCUCACACCAUCGGAUGUGCCCAGAUGGGAUUAGCUAGUUGGUGAGGUAAUGGCUCACCAAGGCGACGAUCCCUAGCUGGUCUGAGAGGAUGACCAGCCACACUGGAACUGAGACACGGUCCAGACUCCUACGGGAGGCAGCAGUGGGGAAUAUUGCACAAUGGGCGAAAGCCUGAUGCAGCCAGCCGCGUGUAUGAAGAAGGCCUUCGGGUUGUAAAGUACUUUCAGCGAGGAGGAAGGUGUUGUGGUUAAUAACCGCAGCAAUUGACGUUACUCGCAGAAGAAGCACCGGCUAACUCCGUGCCAGCAGCCGCGGUAAUACGGAGGGUGCAAGCGUUAAUCGGAAUUACUGGGCGUAAAGCGCACGCAGGCGGUCUGUCAAGUCGGAUGUGAAAUCCCCGGGCUCAACCUGGGAACUGCAUUCGAAACUGGCAGGCUAGAGUCUUGUAGAGGGGGGUAGAAUUCCAGGUGUAGCGGUGAAAUGCGUAGAGAUCUGGAGGAAUACCGGUGGCGAAGGCGGCCCCCUGGACAAAGACUGACGCUCAGGUGCGAAAGCGUGGGGAGCAAACAGGAUUAGAUACCCUGGUAGUCCACGCCGUAAACGAUGUCUAUUUGAAGGUUGUUCCCUUGAGGAGUGGCUUUCGGAGCUAACGCGUUAAAUAGACCGCCUGGGGAGUACGGCCGCAAGGUUAAAACUCAAAUGAAUUGACGGGGGCCCGCACAAGCGGUGGAGCAUGUGGUUUAAUUCGAUGCAACGCGAAGAACCUUACCUACUCUUGACAUCCAGAGAACUUAGCAGAGAUGCUUUGGUGCCUUCGGGAACUCUGAGACAGGUGCUGCAUGGCUGUCGUCAGCUCGUGUUGUGAAAUGUUGGGUUAAGUCCCGCAACGAGCGCAACCCUUAUCCUUUGUUGCCAGCGGUUCGGCCGGGAACUCAAAGGAGACUGCCAGUGAUAAACUGGAGGAAGGUGGGGAUGACGUCAAUCAUCAUGGCCCUUACGAGUAGGGCUACACACGUGCUACAAUGGCAUAUACAAAGAGAAGCGACCUCGCGAGAGCAAGCGGACCUCAUAAAGUAUGUCGUAGUCCGGAUUGGAGUCUGCAACUCGACUCCAUGAAGUCGGAAUCGCUAGUAAUCGUAGAUCAGAAUGCUACGGUGAAUACGUUCCCGGGCCUUGUACACACCGCCCGUCACACCAUGGGAGUGGGUUGCAAAAGAAGUAGGUAGCUUAACCUUCGGGAGGGCGCUUACCACUUUGUGAUUCAUGACUGGGGUGAAGUCGUAACAAGGUAACC
rnacentral:rRNA from 1 species